rnacentral:rRNA from 1 species
GACGGAGGGUGCUAGCGUUGUUCGGAAUCACUGGGCGUAAAGGGCGCGUAGGCGGCCUUGCAAGUCGGUUGGUGAAAGCCCGGGGCUCAACCCCGGAGGUGCGGCCGAGACUGCAGGGCUGGAGGCCGGAAGAGGAGGGUGGAAUACCCAGUGUAGAGGUGAAAUUCGUAGAUAUUGGGUGGAACACCGGUGGCGAAAGCGGCUCUCUGGUCCGGACCUGACGCUGAGGCGCGAAAGCCAGGGGAGCAAACAGG